AUCUUGCGCAAUGGUCGAAAGACUGACGCAGCGACGCCGCGUGCGGGAGGAAGCUCUUCGGGGUGUAAACCGCUGUUGCCCGGGCCGAAAUGCCCUUUCGAGGGUCUUGACGGUACCGGGUGAGGAAGCGCCGGCUAACGCUGUGCCAGCAGCCGCGGGAAUACAGAGGGCGCGAGCGUUGUCCGGAAUCACUGGGCGUAAAGGGCGCGUAGGUGGCGGCAUAAGGCCGCGGUGAAAGUUCGGGGCUCAACCCUGAAUCGGCCGCGGCGACUGUGUCGCUUGGGCACUGUAGAGGCAGAUGGAAUUCCGGGUGUAGCGGUGGAAUGCGUAGAGAUCCGGAAGAACACCGGUGGCGAAGGCGGUCUGCUGGGCAGUGGGAGCGCAAGCUCCUUUUAGCCGACACUGAGGCGCGACAGCGUGGGGAGCAAAC
rnacentral:rRNA from 1 species